rnacentral:lncRNA from 1 species
UUUAAUAUUUCUAUGAUGAGUCAUUAAGUCACCUUAUAUCUUUGUAGCUUACCUUUGAAGCCUAACUUGUGGUUAGCCAGAACAUUCCCAAAAGGCAUCUCCAAAGAGACCUGGUGUAUGGGAGAUGCACAGAAUAAUGGGUUGUUGAGCUCUGCUCCUUAUUCAUUCUUGGACAGCAUCUUGGGCAGCAUGUGCAUGAACAGGCAGUCAAACCAGGAUAUGAUCUGCUACUCAUGCUGUAGGAGGUCAGCCGGUGCUGAGGGGGAUUGCUUCAUUUGCCAUCCAUCCAUGCCUCUCAGGUUUUUGAAGAUUAAUUAUUUAUCAAAGAUGCUUCUGCAAGAAGUUUGGGCACUACAUGUCGUCUUAAAUUAUUCCUGA